rnacentral:lncRNA from 12 species
UCCCUGGACUAGAGUUUCAAGGGAUACUCUUUGGGAAGACCCAAUAACUGUCACAUAGAUCUGCAGUCAAAAUUCUGGUCUCUAGGACAGUGUAUCUGAACCAACCUCUAUAAAGGCGCAGAGGAUUGUAUGUGAUGGAAACUCAUGACACACUACUCAAGGGUCUAUGAGAAUGUUGAAAAGACAGAUUCCUGCUCUGUGUGUUUGGAAUGCAUGCAGAAAGGAGGACAGCCUGGUCAACAUGGCUCAGAAAAGCACAGAGGAUAAAAAGAAGCCAUUCUUUCUGCUUCCUCUUUCUUCUCAGAUUUGUCUCAGUCAACUACUACAUAUCUGGAGGAGGAGGGAGUUGUUCUGAAGCUCAGAAAGAGAAAUCUCUACAUAGUGGGGGCUGGACACACUGCUGA